UCUUCUCCACCAUUUCCAUACGUGUAAAUGGCAAAUUCAAAGCUAUGCAUUUUUGCCAAAUGUUCAAAAUCUUCUUUCUUCUUUUGACUCAUGAGCUCCUAAUUGUUAUCUACUGGUAUUUUGCCGCAAGUUUCAUCAUUUUCCAUGGUAUUACAUAACCAUGGUUUCUCAAAUGUGAGCUCAUUGCUUACGUUUUUAUACCCUUUUAACUCUAUAAAUAUCUGCUCAAUUGCCAGUUAAUUUCUAAGUUAAAUUGUACCAUCAGUUUCGUAUUCUACCCAAAAAUUUAAGAGUUUUUCCCACUUUAUCUCUCCUCUAUUUUCAACCACCACGGCGCCACCCCUUCGACCACCGCUGCUGCAUUACCUGUCGGCGACUGCUUCCUUGCCGACGGCCAACCACCACUCCUUUUUCGGCGCUAUUGUUGUUGGCUGCAAUCGUUGUUGCCAUUGUUGACGAUGUCAUUGGCUCGUUGCUAAGUUCCUGCUAUUUCUUCCAUUUUCCUUUUCAUUCCAAAUGACCCAAAGUCAAAUGACAAGCCCAAUUCUUAUUUGAAGGAACAUAAAUUAAAGGUGGGCCUAAGUCUCAUUUAUUUUGUUUUUAAACGAAUUGAAAUGCUAAUUUGGAAAAAAUGACUACACUAAACUCUAAAAGUCAAAGUAUAUUACUAAUAAAGUUUCUAACUUGUUCUUUAUAUUUGUUUGAACAAUAUACUUAUGGGGUUAAGUGGAAGGAUUUAAGUUUUGGUUAACAAUUACUGGAAGAGACGUUCGUAUGAUUAAGGUUACGCAAUGGAGCGAGGUUCGAUUAAGGAGUUCAAGUUGCGCAAAACGAUAGUUAUUACUGGAGUUGGUUAUUUAUUAUGGAGAUAUCGAGACGAGGAAUUAUUUACUAUGGAAAUCCUGUUAUUGAGGUUGUUAUAAGAAUAUUGAUUUAUAUUUAUUUUAUGGGAAAGUUGUAUUAUUUAUGGAAUGUUUUUAAGGAUUAUUUUAUUUGUGGGCCCAUACCCACAGGUCCCAGGAUUAAUUAAGCCUAAUUCCGCUGCUAAUGAUCAGGUAAGUACGGUUUAUUACCGAUAUUUAAGGAGCCGAAAGGUCGGGGCGUUACAGUAUGGUAUCAGAGCGGAGCCCAGCCGGAAGUGCUCUGCACUGCCUGGGUAUGAUCUUUGGGAUAUGAGAAAAUUUUGAGGUUUUAACUGCUAUUUGGGUAAUUAGGUAUUAAGUUAUGAGAAUAAGAGUUUUAAGAAAAGUGAAUGACUUUUGGGCUAUUGUCAUAGUAUAGGUAUCUGAAUUUAGACUGACCUUGAGUUUUGAGAUAUCCAGUUUCGAGGACGAAACUUUUUCUAAGGGGGUAAGGAUGUAACACCCCGUAUUUUUAAGCCUGUUUUAUUAUUCUGUAAUUACGAUUAUUAACGUAAUUACGUCCUAAAUUUUUCCGAAAAUAUUUUAAGAGCAUUUUUACUUCUAAAUUAUUACUUUCAACAAUUUAAGUUUUAAUAAAAGCCUAGUAAUGUUUUAAAAGAGAAAAUGCCCACCUAAUUUAUGUAGUGUUAUACGUAAGUACAACCUUCCAUAUUUGAGCCCAUGUUUUACACCUAAAACUUUAAUUUUUAUCACCCAAAACUUGGAAAUACCAUUUCACCCUUAUUUCAUUUACCUAAGGAAAGGAAGUCAAUUCCUUCUUCUCCACCAUUUCCAUACGUGUAAAUGGCAAAUUCAAAGCUAUGCAUUUUUGCCAAAUGUUCAAAAUCUUCUUUCUUCUUUUGACUCAUGAGCUCCUAAUUGUUAUCUACUAGUACUUUGCCUUGCCGCAAGUUUCAUCAUUUUCCAUGGUAUUACAUAACCAUGGUUUCUCAAAUGUGAGCUCAUUGCUUACGUUUUUAUACCCUUUUAACUCUAUAAAUAUCUGCUCAAUUGCCAGUUAAUUUCUAAGUUAAAUUGUACCAUCAGUUUCGUAUUCUACCCAAAAAUUUAAGAGUUUUUCCCACUUUCUCUCUCCUCUAUUUUCAACCACCACGGCGCCACCCCUUCGACCACCGCUGCUGCAUUACCUGUCGGCGACUGCUUCCUUGCCGACGGCCAACCACCACUCCUUUUUCGGCGCUAUUGUUGUUGGCUGCAAUCGUUGUUGCCAUUGUUGACGAUGUCAUUGGCUCGUUGCUAAGUUCCUGCUAUUUCUUCCAUUUUCCUUUUCAUUCCAAAUGACCCAAAGUCAAAUGACAAGCCCAAUUCUUAUUUGAAGGAACAUAAAUUAAAGGUGGGCCUAAGUCUCAUUUAUUUUGUUUUUAAACGAAUUGAAAUGCUAAUUUGGAAAAAAUGACUACACUAAACUCUAAAAGUCAAAGUAUAUUACUAAUAAAGUUUCUAACUUGUUCUUUAUAUUUGUUUGAACAAUAUACUUAUGGGGUUAAGUGGAAGGAUUUAAGUUUUGGUUAACAAUUACUGGAAGAGACGUUCGUAUGAUUAAGGUUACGCAAUGGAGCGAGGUAAUUAUUAUGUCUAGCAUUUUAUCUUACAUGUCCGUAUAUGUUAUGUAACUAUUAUGUCCAGCAUUUAAGCUUAUAUGCCCGUAUGUGUGUUAUGUAUGAUUAUAUGACUAUUAUGUGACUUAAGUGCUAAAUGAUAUGAUGUAUGAUUUAAAAUAUUAUGAGUAUUUUUAUGAUGAUAUGUUAACGUACUUUAUUAUUUUAUGAUGAUAUAUGUUUAUGAUUAUGAUCAUGAUGUUAAAGACGUUGUUUGGGAAUAAUUACGAUAUUUAUAAAGUUAUUUUAAAGAAAGACGAUGUUGCUUUUGUCGGCCUGGAAAAGUGAACUGAACUAGUAAAUGGGCAAGUUACAGGUGGAGGCAAGUUAAAGUCAAAGUUAAAGUUAAAGGGAAAUAGUUCCCCCCUGAAAAGAUGUAAGGAAAGUCCCGCCAAAGCCUGUACUUGCCAAUGAGCUGUAAAGGAAAUGAUUCCUUGCCGGCACAGUUUUCAAGAUAACGAGAUUAAAUUAGUUAUUUCCGAACAAUAAAUGCUAAUGAUUGAUAUGUGCCAAAUUAUUUUCAAAAUAAAACCGUUUUGACGGGCUGGAGUAAUAUUACUGAGUUUUCCACUCAUUUUUGUAUUUUUUGUGUUUUUCCUGUUUUCUAUUUUUAUGAUGAUGCACAGGUUCGAUUAAGGAGCUCAAGUUGCGCAAACGAUAGUUAUUACUGGAGUUGGUUAUUUAUUAUGGAGAUAUCGAGACGAGGAAUUAUUUACUAUGGAAAUCCUGUUAUUGAGGUUGUUAUAAGAAUAUUGAUUUAUAUUUAUUUUAUGGGAAAGUUGUAUUAUUUAUGGAAUGUUUUUAAGGAUUAUUUUAUUUGUGGGCCCAUACCCACAGGUCCCAGGA